GAUGAUUACAGUGGUGACACAUUCGUCAAAUCAUCGAGAAAGAGGCAGCCAAACACCGUGUUGAAAAAAUCACUGCCUCUGAUGGGGCCUUGGCUUCCAACGAGAGCUUGUGUGUCAUAUUGGCACGCCCUCGUGCAGUCCGGGCAAUAUGUCACCUGCAGUUCAUGGUGA
rnacentral:rRNA from 1 species